rnacentral:lncRNA from 1 species
CCCCAAUAACAUCCAAAUCCCCUUUAUUCAAACAUUACGUUUAAUCACAAGCCAACAUGAGGAAAUCUUCAUCCCACUGCUCAGGAAUAGAAACAGCAAGAGCAAAUAACAACGGCAACCAAGAAACUCAUGAUCAUGACCCAACAAUGAAUGAAGAUGAAAGGAACUAAUACAUCAAUCUAGAGGAGUACCUGAUGUAGCUUUUUGGAUCGAAAUCAGGGCAAGAAAUGUGCGGAAAAGCUGCUAGAAUUGCUUGGUUGCGGUUCCGUACCCGCACCAGUGAAGCCAAGCUGCGGAUUUGGGGACCAGAUUCAAGGGCUUUAUUGACACUUUUUGCUGAAACUUCCUAAGAACACUUCUUCUCCAGAUUCCCU